UGAACCGAAUUAUCAAGUCAAGAUAAAUUUGAUUAUGUAUAGUUAGCAAGCAUUUUUUGCAUUGACCAUUCAAUGCUGGGUUGUUUGUAAAGCACUAUUAUUGAAAUUAACAAUAAUACAUCUAAUAUAUGCAUAAAUUACUUGCUGCAUUAUUAUAGGAUGCUUAUUCACAUCUGUUAGUUGCUGCAACCACUUGUUAUAUGAAAUCUUCAUCUUUAAAAUUGCGAAAUUAUGAUUUCAAUAUGCACUUACAACAUAGGUUCUGUGAUUUUCUUUUUCAGAGCUACAAGGAAUUAACUGGAACUUCUUGGACCUAUUUGUACUUCAUUAGCUUCUACGUAAUUACUGUUUUGCUGCUUUUGAAUUUGCCAAACGAUGCUUCAAGUGUUCCUAAUACACCUUUGGAUGCAAGAGGAUCAUCUGGUGCUAGCAACCCUUAGUUUGCAUAUAAUGUAUUUUGGAUUUAAAGUUUAGUAUGAGGCUAAUUUGACAAUGUUAUGGAUUUUAUGUUGUACUUGGAUUUAUAAUAGAAGUUUGAAUUAUAAAUCUUUGAACUA